rnacentral:rRNA from 1 species
CGCUGGCGGCAUGCUUCAACAUGCAAGAUCAGGCGGCGGCGCGGGGCAACCUGGCGGCGAGCGGCGAACGUGUGCGUAAUGCAUCGGAACAUGUCCAUGUCGUGGGGGAUAGCCCGGCGAAAGCCGGAUUAAUACCGCAUACGCCCGAGAGGGGAAAGUGGGGGACCGCAAGGCCUCACGCGAUUGGGUCGGCCGAUGUCCGAUUAGCUAGUUGGCGGGGUAAAGGCCCACCAAGGCGAUGAUCGGUAGCUGGUCUGAGAGGAUGAUCAGCCACACUGGGACUGAGACACGGCCCAGACUCCUACGGGAGGCAGCAGUGGG